GACAGAGGAGCCAAGCGUUGUCCGGAUUGACUGGGCGUAAAGCGCACGCAGGCGGCCCGGCGCGUGGGGUGUGAAAGCUGGCGGCUUAACUGCCAGACGCCAUCCCAUACGGCUGGGCUCGAGCCCUGCAGAGGUCCAUGGAAUUGCCGGUGUAGUGGUGAAAUGCGUAGAGAUCGGCAGGAACACCCAGGGGGAAACCAGUGGACUGGGCAGGAGCUGACGCUCAGGUGCGAAAGCGUGGGGAGCGGAACCGG
rnacentral:rRNA from 1 species